AAGCUAGCUGCCCAUUAAUCCUCAGAAGAGAGAGAGUGUUGGCCACAAACUUCCGACUUGGGCAGCCGCCAAAUGGAGUUGCAGCUGAAAACAAGGAGGUGCCCGCCAGAGACGGCAACAAAGGAAAGGAAGGUGGGGAAGAAGAGAGAAGUGGAAAAGUUGCCUCCUUGAAGAAUGGAAAUGAUACUUCUCUCUUUACAUUGGUCUUCUUUACCCUGAGGACUAUAUGGUGAGUGGCGAACCAAGUGAAAAAGAUAACAUCACAGAAUCCAACUGAUUGAAAGAUGAAGAUUGAAACUGACUUGAGCACAGAGGGUUUUUCAUCUGUUUUUUACUAACGACAAUUUAAUUCCAUGCCUAUCGACGUGGAAGAAAAUGUGGCCUAGUUAAAGUCCUCCUAUUUCAACGAAGGUGUGAGAGCUUGUCAGAACCAUCUCCUGAGGCCCUCUGCUCAAGCCACAACUGUAAACUUUAAUUUCUGAAAGGAGAAGGAGAAGGAGGAGGAGGA